rnacentral:lncRNA from 1 species
GCCGGCCGAAGCGGCAGCGGCUUCGGCGCGGGACAGUAUGCGGGAACCUCUCGUGAUGCGUCCUGCCACCAUGAUGGUUCAAGCUUGUGAGGUUUGAUGACGCUGCACCAUGUAUAGUGUGGAAGAUCUCCUGAUUUCUCAUGGAUACAAACCAGCCCGAGAUGCCCCAGUGCCACGUGAGGACAAAUCAGAGCGAUGCAGGUCAAGAAGGACAGGACCCCAAGCUGGCCAAGGCCUAUUGAAUGGGUACAAGGAUGGCCCUACAGCCCAUGCCCACAGUAGGACAGCCCUAGGAACAGGACACGUGAGCAACUCUGAAAAGCACAGCAGCAAGCCAAGAGGCCACCAGGAGUACCAAAGCUCUUCUUCUAGAACUCCCGAGGCGGGGUUUUUAAGUCAACCCUCCUUAGCAUGGUCCUCUCAGCCCCAAAGUGGUAGAGACCACAUCUACUGGAGCAGAGGACAGCAGGAGGGCAGUGGCUCCCUGUGUCCCAGGGAUCAGGAAGAAGUGGAGGUCAGAAGAAUGGCUCAGGCUCACAGUCUGCCCAUUCAUGUGAGAGAGAGUCCAUGGGAAGUUGCC